rnacentral:lncRNA from 1 species
AAGCAGUGCACUGAAAAUCAAUUUAAGUAUUUACUGGAGUUGUCUUGAAGGCCCAAUGGGAAAUGUCAGUAAGGGCACAUGAGAAAACACUUUAAGAACCUAUUCUUCCAAAGAUCUUUCCAGUAUCUUAUGACAACACAGUAAAUUAUACCCACUCCAACUGCAAAAGCUGAAACUACUCUGCUUUCUCACUUACCUACACUUUUGACUUUCCAAAUACAUUUCUCUCUUCGGAUAUGAGCUGCAAACUCCUUAUAUAAAGGCUCCAACUCUGCAGCCCUAAUUAUUCUAGUUGGCCCAAGAAAAAUCCUAAUUGUUUUAUCUAAGGAGACGGAAUUUUCCAAUACUGUAGAGGCAUGUGUGUGUGUUUGCUUUAAGGAAGCUGUUUUGGUAAUAAAAAGUCACUGAGGGUCAUAAAUUCAUGUUAACACAUCCAGUGUACAUGAAGUAGGCACCGAGUUAAACUAUUUGUCUACUAUAUAGCAUGUCAUCUUAAAAGCCUUAUUUUUUCCUCAAAAUAUUAACUUUAUUUUUCUCCCUGUAAAAUCAAGACACAGUUAAAAUGUAGCCUUCCUCAUUUUCUGGGAAUACUUUCUAACAAGAUAUGCUUCUUUCCAAUUGGACUUCUAAAUUUCUAGCAAUUCUAACAGUGCAUAAAAGAGGCAACCCCAAAAGUGUAGCAGGUACUGAAUAACAGAUUUGCAGCCUUGGGUAUCCACAUUAAAAUUUGAAAUCUAAGUGAAUUACUUCAAGCUGAUUUCUUAGGUCAAGGAGAGAUUAUGGUCCUUAAAUGCCUGAUAAGGUCACAUACACAAUUUCAAGUGCAUUAUAGUAAAUCCAUGUGACAGCUCCUACAGCUACUAACCUGCUUCUGCCCUCACGGUAGCGUGCACAAUCUUCAUCGCAUGUCCUGGGUGGUGGUAGGAGCAGUAGAAACCCCCUGGGUCAUGUCAGAUUUAGAAAAUAUAAGCAAUGGCUCAUACACGAAUUUUAAGUUGUAACCUACAUGUGAUAAGUUGCUUUAUCUUCCAAAUGUAAUAAAAACCAGAAGUUACUUUGAAAUAAAUUGAAGGAUUAGCAGUGGUGACUGAGGAAUAAAAAUUAUAAUUUAAAAUUGUCCUUAAGGCUGGAAUUCUUAACUUAUUGACCUUAUAUCCUACAUAUUAUAGGACUUUGUAAAUUUAGGCUGAUAUGGAAAUGUAUAUUUAUAUCAAAUUUAAAUUUUUAGAAUGAUGGUGCUACUAUAUUCUAAUUGUUAAUUUGAUAAUUGUAAUUGUAAUUUGUUAAUUUGUUCUAAUAAUAUUUUCAUGACAUUAUUCAUUUGCUGCUUGGCUUGAUGGCAUAACAAGUAUGGGUUAUUUACCCUGAAAAGGAAACAGUAUCACCCUUCCAGAAUCUCUAUUUACAGCUACAGAAGAUGCAACACACCUGUUUCUGGACCACUUCCAGAUCAGAUGUGAUGCAUGCUUUAGAUCAUUUACUUUGAUCUAGGAAUUACUGUCUGGCAUUUCGUGGUGUAGGGUAGGUGUCUCCAGCACUGUAUAGGUGUCUGGAAUUGAGAUAAGAAUCAAUUUCAAUACAAAAUACAUUUUUUGCUUAAAGCACGCAAGGAUUCUAUGAAUUCAGGUAAAUUCACAGGGUGGAAAACAGGAACUAAUGUUAUAUAUUCCUGUAGUUAUCUUCAUAAUGAAGCAGAAAGAAAAACAAAAAAGUUACAAAAAUAAAUGAAAAGAACUGUAUUUUCUAGAAUUGAAAAAUAAUUCUUUUAGAUGAUAGAUAAGAUGUUUACAUCAACCUGCAAAAAGUCAAUGUUGAAGAGGUCUCAUUGUAUCUCACAGAAUUUUGAUUUGCCUACUCACCCACAGGAGACAUUUCUGGGACAGUAGCAACAUAAGGUCCAUCCCAAAACUUUGGCUCAUUAUCAUUAAUAUCCUGCACUUUGAUGAUGAAUUCUGAUUCAGGCUCCAGGGGCUUUCUGGUUUCUAUGUCCACAGCCUGAGCACGAAGAGUGUAGAAAGGUUUUUCUUCUCUAUCUAGGCUCCUUAUUGCAUGAAUGUCCCCUGUGGUUUCAUCAAUGGUAAAAACGGUGCCAGCGCCAUCUCCUGAGAGGGUGUAUUUCGCAGUGCCCUCUCCCUUGUCUAAGUCGGAAUGGAGCUUUAGGGAAGAGAGGGAGAGAGAGAGGAAGAGAAAGAGAAGGACAAAGAAAGAACACCAUUAAAAGGAUGUUGCCAAAUUAAAAAGUCAUAAUUUGCAAUACAAUUCCUUUAAUCAAAAAUGUUAAAUAAAAAUCUUAUGGUUCUG